CCUACGGGGUGCAGCAGUGGGGAAUAUUGGACAAUGGGCGAAAGCCUGAUCCAGCCAUGCCGCGUGUGUGAAGAAGGCCUUCGGGUUGUAAAGCACUUUCAGUGGGGAAGAAAGCCUUGGGGCUAAUACCCUCGAGGAAGGACAUCACCCACAGAAGAAGCACCGGCUAACUCCGUGCCAGCAGCCGCGGUAAUACGGAGGGUGCGAGCGUUAAUCGGAAUUACUGGGCGUAAAGCGCGCGUAGGCGGUCUGAUAAGCCGGUUGUGAAAGCCCCGGGCUCAACCUGGGAACGGCAUCCGGACCUGUCAGGCUAGAGUGCAGGAGAGGAAGGUAGAAUUCCCGGUGUAGCGGUGAAAUGCGUAGAGAUCGGGAGGAAUACCAGUGGCGAAGGCGGCCUUCUGGACUGACACUGACGCUGAGGUGCGAAAGCGUGGGUAGCAAACAGGAUUAGAUACCCCUGUAGUC
rnacentral:rRNA from 1 species